GGAGCUACCAUUUGAUUUUAAGGGGGGGGCUAGGAUGAAAUUUGAAAAAAAUAGGCAGGACAGGAGUUUUGAGUAAAAAAAAGGCAGGAUGAGACAAUUGCCAAAAAAAAAGUCAGGACGACAAUUUAGGUAAAAAAAAGUCGGGAUAAACUAAAAAAAAAAAACAGGACCAAACAGAGUGAAAAAUAAAAAGGCAGGACAGAGAUUACAGCUAAAAAAAAGGCAGGACAAAAUUUUUCAUCCUAGCCCCA
rnacentral:lncRNA from 1 species